AUCUAGUUCAUCUUUAAGAUGUUAGUGUCCUCAUUUCUGAGAAGCUGCUAAGCAGAGGACAGCUCACAAGACCAAAGGACAUAGCAGAAGGAACCAGAGAUGGCUCACCUGCAGGUUCUGCUCAUGUUGCUGUGGAGCUCAGGACUCUGGGCUGAAGGAAACCACGACUCAGCAGGUGUUCAGUGUGAAACAGCCAAAGCUGACCUCGUGAUGUUGGUGGAUGAGUCUGGGAGCAUCAGCAGUGUCGACUUUAGAGUCAUGAAGUCAUUUCUUAUUGAGAUCGUUAAAAACUUCAACAUCGGCCCGGACAAAGUCCAGAUUGGUCUGACAUCAUUCGCUAGAGCACCAAUGGCUGAGUGGUACUUAAAU
ensembl:lncRNA